UACAGAGGGGGCAAGCGUUAUUCGGAAUUAUUGGGCGUAAAGGGCGCGUAGGCGGUUCUUCAAGUCUCUCGUGAAAUCCCUCGGCUUAACUGAGGACGUGCGGGAGAUACUGAAGGGCUUGAGUCCGGAAGAGGGUGGUGGAAUUCCCAGUGUAGCGGUGAAAUGCGUAGAGAUCGGAAGGAACACCAGUGGCGAAGGCGGCUACCUGGACAAAUACUGACGCUGAGGCGCGAGAGCGUGGGGAGCAAACAGG
rnacentral:rRNA from 1 species